UGAAAUCUUUGACCACAAUUCAUUUGCCUUCAGUAGCACCAUAAUUUUGCCCUUAAUUGAGCCUGUUAAUAAAAUAACUGUGAUUUUUAUGCUAAUUGUGAACAAAUACAUUUUCAAGGAGGAAACAUGAGUGAUAAAAUACUAUACCACUGAAAAUUACAUCCAGACCUGAAGCUAAUAAGGAACAUCUGUUAUUUUUCUUUAUUGCCUAAGAUAUUAAAUAGCUAUCAGUAGUCAUGGUAGGCUCCAGUUAAGAAUUUUCCAGCACUGAUGGCACAAGUAUCAGUUUCAUGUGUGACUUGAGAUAAUUUUCCAUGUGUAUUUUAUUGUAAUUUAUUUUCCUUCUUUAAUAAUAAUAAUAAUAAUAAUAAUAACUUAGUUACAGUGUUAAUGAAUAUGGUGUGUUCUGCUUAAAUACUGUCAUUGACAGUGAAGACAUCCAACCAGCUAGAGUGUUUCUUAAACUGUUUUUGUUGCCUCAGACCAGUUUCAAGGUAGUAUGGCUACUGCAAUACUCUGUAAGAGUUGAAGAGAAGAACUUGCUGAAAACAGCAAAGGACCUGUUUCCAAAGGUGCUGCUGAACCUGCUAGCAAGAUAAAGAAGAAAAUCAACCAUGAGAAAAUUGAAAUAAAUAAUGUGAGGAGAGCAGAAGAAUGUGGAAAACCCAUGUGCACCUGCUUACCUUGCUGCAGCUUGCAUGCAGACUAUGACUCCUCCCACCUCCGUGAUGUGUUUGAAGAGAUGUUUCUCCGUAUCCCCUGCAGGAAUGCUCUGAACAUUGCCUUACUCCUGAUCUAGUCUUGCCUGAGGUAAAAGCUCAAGGUCUUCUCCUUAACAAGAAGUAGUAUCAUACUGCAAACAGUGUUUUAUGUACUCCAGCCUUAUACUACACUUUCAUAUUUUAGGGGCUUGGCUGGAAAGGAAAUUGAAUUGCUGGACCUUUUUCUGUCUUGCAUUUCCUAGAUUCAGUGACUGACAAAUCAAUUUCAAAUCUGACUUGAUGAUCAGAAGUGCAAAUCUUUUAAAAACUUGAGUUUUGGAUUCAGGCUCUGACACUGUUCAAAUCCUCAGCUAACAGCAGGAUGCUCAGAGAAUUUAGCCAGCAGCAUGCUCCAAUUUAGAAUUUCCUGCAAGUUCAUGGCUGAAUUUCAUGAAGACUGCUCUGCCACUGACAUCUUCUCCUGGCAAUGUGACAGAAAAUAAAUUGAAUAAUUUUAUCGUCAGAUGUUACAGGCUCCAUAAUACCAAACAUAUUGUAGUCACACUGUGUUCUAGCUUUGGAAAAUGCUAUAACCUCUUCACAGAAAAUGGUUGUAAUAGGUGGUGAACAUCGCUCAGUACUCAGAGCAAGGCCUGAGGCCUCUGCAACUGAUUCCUUUGAAAAAGUUGGCCUACAAGGCAUCAGACCUUUUGCUGUAGGUCUAGGCUCACAAAACCCAGCCAUUUUAAGUUUCCCUUUCUGCAGUCUGCUUGGCAAAAUGGGAAGAGUUUAUCCAAACUGAAGGAAUUUUGGCAGUCUUACCUUCUGGCAACCGGUACAGCUACAGGGGCUUCCCCAUCAUUUCCUGUCAGGCUGCCCCAACUUGGUGGAGGCGCAUGAGGGUGCACAGCAUCGGCAGCUGGGAUGUAGCUCUGGCUGUGCUUGCUGGGUACUGGGAACUACUGCCACAAGAGCAACAAGCUCAGCUGAACAAACUUUGCAUCAGUGAGUGGGCUUGGCCAACCCGCACCUGGGGGUGUGGUGCUGUGGCUAUCUCAUCUGGCUUAGUUUGUAAGAGAAAAAUACAGCACAGUGACUUUGCUAGCAAGUCACUUUGAAAACAUUCUUUCCCAAAGUAGCAUGUCAUUGGUUUUGAGCUCACUGAAGCCCCUUUCUUCUUAGACAACACGAUGGAUGCCUGUAAAGAAUUGCAUAUGGACAAGAGCAAGUGUUCAUAUGAGUCUUACUAAUUGAGUUGCUUGAGAUGCUGCUGGCUGUACAAAGAGAUGCAAACAUCAACCUUACAAAACUCAUCAUAACCUUCCUGCCAGUUGUAGGGCAUGCAAGAAUGUUGGAAUCCUGCUGAGCAUGGUCGCUUUUCUUUGGAGUGGUUGUGCUUUGGAUGGUUUGUCUUUUCUCAACAGGAGACCAGAAGUCUACUGAUUCACUGUUCCUUUUAGCCAGAGGAAAAGGAUGCUGCCUGAGAAGAGCUGGGAAGAAUGUAAGUUAAUCAUAAAAAGCAUUUGCACUUUAAAAACAAGAAAGCAGGUAUCUCAGCUUUAGUGAAAAAGAAAGCCGGUGUGGUUUAUCAUUUACAAGCUCAGGUAUGAAUCAGUAUGGAGAACCCAUUGGCUGUAAAUCCUAUUUAAUUAUCUGAUUAUUGUUUUGGGGUGUAAAUACAAGACAGUUGAUCAAUCGAGAAGAAAUUUCAGACCAGACAAGUUCUUUCGUUAACUUGGAAUGUGGACAUUUUUAAAGUGGGAAAAUAGUUAUCCUGAAAUUAAAUCUAUGCUGUGGCCUUGCUUCUUUUGUGCCAAAAUCGGCAAUGUAAAGAGCAUACAUUUUCUGAUAUUCCAAGAGUAGAAAAAGGGGCAUACAUUGAAAGGUUUAGUCGCCAAGUACUUUGGUUAACGAGUUCUCUUUAAGAGGUCACUUACUGCAUGAGGAAAAUAGUAGUUUGUGUUGUUUCUCAACAGUUCUUCAAUCCUGCAUGUAAAAUUGUAAUCAUUAGCUGUAUGGGUGGAGUGGAACACACAGAAGCUGGCUGUGCUUAGUAUUUUAUGCACUAUUUAUUUGUCAUGAUAUGUUUUUUGUUUUCUUUUGGUUUUAAGUGUGAUAUAUUAGGAAUAUAUAAGCACAAUGCUAGGGAAAAUGUGGAGUAGGAAGACAGUUAUAAAAAUAGGAUAUGAAGAACAUAUGGCUUUGGACUGAUGAGGGAAUUCCUGGCUUCAAGGACUGAUACGUGGAUGCUAAAAAGCCAUGACUUCUGCCUGGUGAGAGCUGAUUCUGUCUCUAUGAGAAAAAAGAAAUGGGAAAAGCAGUGAGCUGUCUGUGUUUGUCUAUUCUUUGUUUGCUGCCUGUGUUUAGAAAGGUCCCUUUUAAAUUAAAAUUGGCAGUUUGAAUGAAUCAGCCUUGAUUUGAAGCCUGCAGUUGUUGCUCAAAACUGACACAACUAGGCUGGUUCCAAUGGAAAGUGUUUUCUAGAAGUAUGUGAAUGCUAUCCAUAUGCAGUAGUCCCUGAACACUAGCCUCACUGUUAUACUGGAACAAAUAGUACUUUAAGGCUUAUGCACAAUCUCUCUUCCUCUUUUUAUGCAGAAAUAUGCUUAUGCAGAAACAGGAAGCUGUAUUCCAAUGCUCUCUACAGCUGCUGUGGAGAUAAGCUUUUUCUGUCUGGAAAGAUGAAGAACGGGUAUGUUUUCCAUGGAGUUCAAAAGAACCCACAUUUUGUUUUGCCAUAUACUGCUCAAACCGCAUGUCUCUUUCCUCCUCCUUAGAUUGUAACUGGCACAUUGAGUUAGUGAAGAUGCAUGUUUAUCGAUCAUGCUGUGCUAACUAUAUCCUUUUCUAUAAUAUUUCAGCAACUAUGGGGAAAGGCAUGGCCAAAUUUUAAUUUAGCUUAAAACAAAUAAUCACUGCUGUGUAUUUUUGUCAUAUUAAAAACAGGUUAUUAAUUGUACCUGUAAAAAUAUUCAGAACACAUGGACUACUUUGCCUUU